UGGUGGAGUGAUUUGUCUGGUUAAUUCCGUCAACGAACGAGACCUUAACCUGCUAAGUAGUUACACGUAACUUCGGUUACGUGGGCAACUUCUUAGAGGGACCUUGUGUGUCUAACGCAAGGAAGUUUGAGGCAAUAACA
rnacentral:rRNA from 1 species